rnacentral:rRNA from 1 species
UACGGGGGGUGCGAGCGUUGUCCGGAAUCACUGGGCGUAAAGGGCGCGUAGGUGGCGUCGUAAGUUUGUGGUGAAAGCCCGGAGCUCAACUCCGGGUCUGCCGCGAAUACUGCGAGGCUUGAGUACUGUAGAGGGGGGUAGAAUAUCGGGUGUAGCGGUGGAAUGCGUAGAGAUCCGAUAGAAGACCGGUGGCGAAGGCGGGUCUCUGGGCAGUAACUGACGCUGAGGAGCGAAAGCGUGGGGAGCGAACAGG